UACGUAGGGGGCAAGCGUUGUCCGGAUUUAUUGGGCGUAAAGCGCGCGCAGGUGGUGGAUUAAGUUGUGGGUAAAAGGCAUUGGCUCAACCAAUGUAAGCCUGCAAAACUGGUUCACUUGAGUGCAGGAGAGGAGAGUGGAAUUCCUGGUGUAGCGGUGAAAUGCGCAGAUAUCAGGAGGAACACCAGUGGCGAAGGCGGUCUGCUGGGCAGUGGGAUCGAAAGGUCCCUUUAACCGACACUGAGGCGCGACAGCAUGGGGAGCAAACAGG
rnacentral:rRNA from 1 species